UUCCUCUCAGGACUGCACCUGGAGAGUUUCCAGUACUCUACCAGUCUCGGCUAUGGGAGGGAGGGUCAAAGCAGAGGCAUAAACCGUUCCAUUACUAGCUUGGCCAGUGACUAGCGAGUAGAAGGCAAUCUGCUACAAGU